CCCGCCACUGUGCUGGCCUGCUCUCAGCUGUGGCUUGCGCAUUCCAGUGGUGAGCUGAGAGGAAAGCCCCCUUCUAGGAAACAGGGUUGCUCUCUCUGUGGGUAACUCUGUGCCGAUGAAUGGGCACAGAU